UACGUAGGGUGCGAGCGUUGUCCGGAAUUAUUGGGCGUCAAGGGCUCGUAGGCGGUCUGUUGCGUCGGGAGUGAAAACUCAGGGCUUAACCCUGAGCCUGCUUCCGAUACGGGCAGACUAGAGGUAUGCAGGGGAGAACGGAAUUCCUGGUGUAGCGGUGAAAUGCGCAGAUAUCAGGAGGAACACCGGUGGCGAAGGCGGUUCUCUGGGCAUUACCUGACGCUGAGGAGCGAAAGUGUGGGGAGCGAACAGG
rnacentral:rRNA from 1 species